rnacentral:rRNA from 1 species
GAUGAACGCUGGCGGCGUGCCUAAUACAUGCAAGUCGAGCGAACAGACGAGGAGCUUGCUCCUCUGACGUUAGCGGCGGACGGGUGAGUAACACGUGGAUAACCUACCUAUAAGACUGGGAUAACUUCGGGAAACCGGAGCUAAUACCGGAUAAUAUAUUGAACCGCAUGGUUCAAUAGUGAAAGACGGUUUUGCUGUCACUUAUAGAUGGAUCCGCGCCGCAUUAGCUAGUUGGUAAGGUAACGGCUUACCAAGGCAACGAUGCGUAGCCGACCUGAGGGGGUGAUCGGCCACCCUGGAACUGAGCCACGGUCCAGACUCCUACGGGAGGCAGCAGUAGGGAAUCUUCCGCAAUGGGCGAAAGCCUGACGGAGCAACGCCGCGUGAGUGAUGAAGGUCUUCGGAUCGUAAAACUCUGUUAUUAGGGAAGAACAAAUGUGUAAGUAACUAUGCACGUCUUGACGGUACCUAAUCAGAAAGCCACGGCUAACUACGUG